rnacentral:lncRNA from 1 species
UACGAUGCCCCGGGGGACGUCGUAGUUGACUCCCGGCAGCCGUCUGGCUGGCGUAGCCGGUUGGUCAGAGGAGCCGGCCGUGGGCGGAAUGGGAGCAGGCGGCCUGGGCGGGCAGGCACCCCGCUCGACUUUGCGUCUUUGGGGUACCUGGGGAUCAUUCCCCCGACAACCUACUGGUCGAAUUCUUUGCCAUUUUCGUCAGUGCAGAGGUGGCCGUUGGUAGGCAUGGGAGUCUUGGCGCCUUUGCAUUCAUGCAUGUUGAAUUUCCUCAUAACAUCCUUGAGGUAUUUCUCCUGUGAUAUGAAGAUCCCAUUCGUUGUUGACGAAUUUGAAGACCUAAGAAUAAUUUCAGCUCCC